AGAGUUUGAUCCUGGCUCAGAACGAACGCUGGCGGCAUGCGUUAUACAUGCAAGUCGAACGAGAAAGUCACUUCGGUGGCGAGUACAGUGGCGCACGGGUGAGUAACGCGUAGAUGAACUACCCUUCAGUCUGGGACAACUCUUGGAAACGGGAGCUAAUACCGGAUAAAACCUUCGGGUUGAAAGAUUUAUCGCUGGGGGAUGAGUCUGCGUACCAUUAGCUUGUUGGUGGGGUAACGGCCUACCAAGGCGACGAUGGUUAGCGGGUCUGAGAGGACGAUCCGCCACACUGGAACUGAGACACGGUCCAGACUCCUACGGGAGGCAGCAGUAGGGAAUAUUGCGCAAUGGGGGCAACCCUGACGCAGCAAUGCCGCGUGAGUGAAGAAGGCCUUCGGGUCGUAAAGCUCUUUUAUGGGGGAAGAUGAUGACGGUACCCCAUGAAUAAGCACCGGCUAACUACGUGCCAGCAGCCGCGGUAAUACGUAGGGUGCGAGCGUUGUUCGGAAUUACUGGGCGUAAAGGGCGUGCAGGCGGAUUGGCAAGCCGGAGGUGAAAGCCCGGGGCUCAACCCCGGAGGGUCUUUCGGAACUGCCAGUCUUGAGAGGGUCAGGGGCCAGCGGAAUUCCUGGUGUAGAGGUGAAAUUCGUAGAGAUCAGGAGGAACACCGGCGGCGAAAGCGGCUGGCUGGGGCCACUCUGACGCUGAGGCGCGAAAGCGUGGGGAGCAAACAGGAUUAGAUACCCUGGUAGUCCACGCCGUAAACGAUGGGCACUAAGCGUCCGACGGGUUCGACCCUGUUGGGUGCUGCAGUUAACGCGUUAAGUGCCCCGCCUGGGGAGUACGGUCGCAAGACUAAAACUCAAAGGAAUUGACGG
rnacentral:rRNA from 1 species